CUAAGUGGCGGACGGGUGAGUAAUGUAUAGUUAAUCUGCCCUUUAGAGGGGGAUAACAGUUGGAAACGGCUGCUAAUACCCCAUACUCCUUUUACAUUAAUUGUAAUUGGGAAACGUUUUUUCGCUAAAGGAUGAGACUAUAUGGUAUCAGGUAGUUGGUGGGGUAAGAGCCCACCAAGCCAAUGACGCCUAGCUGGUCUGAGAGGAUGAUCAGCCACACUGGAACUGAGACACGGUCCAG
rnacentral:rRNA from 1 species